GAAUAUUGCACAAUGGGCGCAAGCCUGACGACGCAACGCCGCGUGGAGGAUGAAGAUCUUCGGGUCGUAAACUCCUUUCGAUCGAGACGAAUUUCCCGGGGGUGAACAAUCCCCGGGGUUGACGGUACCGAGAGAAGAAGCCCCGGCUAACUCCGUGCCAGCAGCCGCGGUAAGACGGGGGGGGCAAGCGUUGUUCGGAAUUACUGGGCGUAAAGGGCUCGUAGGCGGCCAACUAAGUCGGACGUGAAAUCCCUCGGCUCAACCGGGGAACUGCGUCCGAUACUGGAUGGCUUGAGUCCGGGAGAGGGAUGCGGAAUUCCAGGUGUAGCGGUGAAAUGCGUAGAUAUCUGGAGGAACACCGGUGGCGAAGGCGGCAUCCUGGACCGGCACUGACGCUGAGUGAGCGAAAGCCAGGGGAGCAAACGGG
rnacentral:rRNA from 1 species